CCCCCUCGGUGGUGCCGUGUGCAGGAAUCAUGUGUAGUACCCUGCUUUUGCUCUUGUCCCCUUUCAUCCUGGAGACUCCCCGUUGGGUCACCUUUUCAUGACCCCCCAGUACUUUUCUGUUUUGUGUUCCCAACUCCGGCUGGUAGAAGGACCAGUUGAGAGAGGAGCUGGGCUGAACCAAGUCCCUCCGGAGACCGCCUCAUGAGACCACAGCAUAUAUAUACCUGAGCAACUGUAUUCCUAAAUACAUUUACAUCUACAAACACCUUUUGAAUUAAAUGUAUCAUUUCUGAUGGUGUGUGAGGGGAAGAGAAGAAAAGCCAAAGUUAAAUGAAUGGGACUCCACAAACAACCCAAGUCGAGUUCGCUGAUGUUGGCUCCGAAGAAUUCAUCUUAAUCAAUGAGAUUGCUUCUGUUCCCGUAAAAAUGACUGAUUGGGACACAUAAAAUAUGCUAUCAACUUUUGCCCAAAAUCUGCUAUUACAGGAGGACACGGGACUCUCCCAGAGGAGUGCCCGAAAGGACGUUAUGUGGGCUGACGGGAAGCAGCUGAGAAAGAUUCACCGGGCUUUUUAAUGCAGAUGAUGUACGGCUGUGGAGAGGAGCCAAAGGGGAUCGAAGAACUCUGAUUGGAAGGUUCAAGUGUGUUCCAUGUGUUACUCCCCUAGCCUUUUCGUUAAUGCUGUGUAGAGGCAAGCAGAGUCCCAGCUGGUGAAAAGCCUAUCUUUCUUAAUGGUUUAAAGAGCACAGAUCUGGAGCCAGACUGCCUGGAUUGGAAUUCCAGUGCUACCACUUACUACCUUUGCAACCUUGGGCAGAUGUCAGCAUGGACAAAUGACACUGAGGACCAGAUGCCCCUUAAUCCCAGACCAUAGCAAUAUGAGAACUCAUUCCUAUACCAACGUCCACCCAUUUUCGUGCUUGUGUGUACCUCCAGAUUCACCCUCCACCGUUCUCCACCUUGCUCUUUGCCUCUGAACACUGACCUAUAUGGAAUGUAUCAAAGGGCUCCCAUGUCCUCUAGCUUUCUGUUGAGGUCGUUCAAUGGGAGUCCCAGCAGGAGAUUGGUGAAUUGAUCAAAGAAUUUGUUCCUCUAGCUCCCUUCCUGUAGGGGUGCUAUUCCUUGACUGGUUCCUCUCUGGAAGUCCUGCACUGCUCCAUGUUGAUUUCCCUAAAUUCUGCCCACUUCUUUGUAAAGAGUCCUUUUAUUCAACUCCAAUUACCCAGUUUGAGUGGUGCCAUCUGUUUCCUGCAGGGACCCCGAUUGAUACAAUUUCCAAUCAAGAAAAUAACAAUGAGAUUGUUAGUCUGAGGAGCACAUCUUGCCUCAAUUUCUUCAGUUAUUCUGAAGUCCUAAACUCACAUAAAUUUGAAUUAUUGAAAAGCAGAAUACCUAGACUUCAGUAAAUUAUCCAAAGCAGCAAGUCACUCAGUGAAUUUUGCUUUAACCUCUACGCCCUCAGCUUUUAACCAAGGGUCAAUACAG